rnacentral:rRNA from 1 species
CUAGCCGUAAACGAUGGACACUAGGUGUGGGGAGUUAUCGACGCUCUCUGUGCCGAAGCUAACGCAUUAAGUGUCCCGCCUGGGGAGUACGGUCGCAAGACUAAAACUCAAAGGAAUUGACGGGGGCCCGCACAAGCGGCGGAGCAUGUGGCUUAAUUCGACGCAACGCGAAAAACCUUACCAAGGCUUGACAUCAUAUUGACAAGUACAGAAAUGUACCUCCUUCGGGCAAUAUGACAGGUGG